CCAAAAUAAUUCCCAAAGUCUUUCUCUCAAGUAUUUUUCUCCCUACAACUUGAAGAAUAAAAAAGAGUUAGAGCUAGGAUCAAGUUAAAUUCUCAGCUCCUUAAGAAUUUUGUGUGGCUUGAUAUCAAGGUGGUGUCCAUCAAAGAAUGUUGUCGUGUCUUUAAAAGAAAGUAUUAGGAGACAAUAUACACAGGCUUAUCACUCCAGGGGGAGAUUCCAAAUGGUAUAUUCCAGACGAUGUUUAAUAACUUUAAGACUAUGUGUACUUGGGAGACGAGAUACAAUCAAGUAAUUUUGACCAAAUUAGAGAGGAAGGCAUCUGCAAGACUGUCUGCCUGGCUAAUGAAUGUACGGAUGAUGGUGAACACCUGCAUUGGAUGUUACCGCAUGUUCAUGAUGAACUAGGUCUGUAUUGGAACAUAGACAAGUUUAAGGCAGUAUAAUACCAAGACAAAAAGGCUAGAGGCAGUCUUCAGGGUGGCUUGUUGCACACCGAACUCCUUUGGAACAAUUGCAAAAGAUAUGAGUCACUUUCAGGAUUACAUCGCUCAUUAUAUAGAUAAUUCAGUUUAAAUGAAACCUCAACUUUCCACCUAAAUUUUGACAGAAAAGCUGGUAGGGCGGACACACAAAGGUAGAGUAUGUGGUCCAGGAUCUCGGGACGAUGCAAGAUGACUCAAGUCGGACUUACAAGGAAUUGGGUCGUCUAGUCAAGUUGAGGCACUUGACAGUCUUUAAAUUGUUGCUAUGUCUGAUCAAAUAGCUAAAAUUACAGCAGCACUAGCAAAGACGAAGCAGAAGAGAGUAGCUGAAAAAGAAACCAUGAGUGCGACUGUUCCACAAAUCAAAGAACAAGUGAUGACACCUACAACGACAGUUCUUGUGAUGACGAUGAUUCUGUGGGCACAUUUUUUUUUAUAUAAAUUUGAACAUAUACAAAAAUUUGAAAUAUUUUGUAAAU